rnacentral:rRNA from 1 species
AUGAAGCUGGAAUCGCUAGUAAUCGCGAAUCAGAAUGUCGCGGUGAAUACGUUCCCGGGUCUUGUACACACCGCCCGUCACACCAUGGGAGUCGGAUAUGCCCGAAGCCGGUGACCUAACCGCAAGGAAGGAGCCGUCGAAGGUGGAGCCGAUGACUGGGGUGAAGUCGUAACAAGGUACC